CCCCCUCCUCAAAAAAUGCUUCCAUAAAAACAAUAGGCAAGGCCAUAAUUUAAAGAGAGAAAAAUGUGAUUAUAUAACACAUCCUGCAGUAAUCAAUUUUACCUCCAAUAUCUGCUUUUGUUUUCAAAAUGCUAAAUAAACAAUACAUAAUGCAUCCCUCAUCAGCCAAAACCAUGAGGGCUCUGUGCUCAAAUAACAGGAAACAUAUUCAAUUUUCCUAACAGAAGACAGUUCAUUAAGCUGUGCCACAUCAAAUAAAACUUUAAUUUCUCCAGCAUCAGAGUCGCAAUGAAAGCAAUUGAGGAAGAUGAGCCAUAUGGUACUUCUAUCAGCAAACACAUAUUGCUCAUUCCCCCAAAGUUUUCUAAUUCUGCUCCCCAGACCUGUGUAAUAUAGAUAAUGUGCUCUGAGCGCAGCAACCAUGAGCUAUCUGGUGUACACUUCUAAUACUGUAUUUAAUGGGAAAUAAUGAAUCAUAAAAGCCUGCAGAAGACGGCUUUUGCUAACCUAAAUCUCAGCUGUAAUUUCAUUGUUCUGUGCCUAAGAUGCUGUUUGCCCUUUUCAAACAGCAGCAGUUGAACAUAAUUAUGCUGCUACAAACCUGGGCUGCAAAAAGAAAGCCUUCCUAAUAGAACCAAGUUUUUAUUAACUCUUGAAAUCCUGAGCUUGGGGCAACUGCAAGCUGCCUGUCAGGUUUUAGGGUUCAUUAAAGCACACGUACACGUAUAUCUUGAUUUCCAGUGCGCAGCCCCACAAAUUAAAUUGAUGAUUCCCAUAUCGGGCCAAAAAUGCAACAGGAGAAGGCUAUGAAAAAUUAGGAAAUCUUCUUGACAUCGGGAAAUCCGACACUUGUCUGCUCUAACAUCUCUAAGUGCCAAGGAAAGAGGGGGAUUUUUUUUCCUUAAAGAAAGGCAGGUUUGCCUAUCUCCAAGGGACGAUCGGUCAGGGUUGUUUUCUGAAGAAGAAGCCUAUAGGUAAAGAGGCAUCCAUAUGCUCACGCAGGAAGAUUCAUAAAGGCAAGGACAGGAACAUAAAGGUAUUAUUUUGACAUGAUGGCCCCUGGAAAAUGUCUGACUCAUCCCAACAACAGCCACCCCCACCCUGCCUUCCCCCUUGCAAAAUACCACGACCAAAAUCACCAGCAACCCAAGUCAGAGACAGACCAACAGCCUAAAACCUACAAUGAAUUUACAUCAUCUAUAUGGAGCUUUGGACCAACAGGUUGUUGCCACUUUUGCUGCCUUUGCCUCUGAGAAGUUGAGUAAAUCCUCUGGCCCCUUUCAAAUAUUUUCUCAUCUGCACUGAAUUUCUACUGACAAAGCAACUGAUAGAUACGGACCUCAGAAAUAUUUAUUAUCAAUGAAUAAAGGUUUUUUUUUUUUUUUUUACUUAAUCUGAGGCAAUUAGUUCCUGAAUAAACACAGACUAAGUAAUCUACCACCUCAAAAGAUAAUCAGACUUGAAAAGCGCUGUUUGGUCCUACCCAAGAAAAGCACAACUUGAUUAAAAUGCUUUGGAGGUUCACUUUCAUUUCUUCCCUUUUGCUCCAGAAAACAUUUUAUAACAUCCCAAUAACUUUUAUUUUCUUCCCAUGCCAAACCUGGGGCCUCUGUUGGUUGUUGCUGUCCUUUUUCCCCACCUUCCCUAAAUCUUUAACCCUGCUUCUCAUUUUUCUUUGCCCCUAAUCUAAUCACUAAUUCCUUGGCUUGGCCAAAUAGUUAAAAAUGUUAAGUGCUGCUCACAAUUCCUGCUGCCUCCCCCAUGUAUCUGUCUCUGUUUAUGGAACAGGCCCUGGUUUCCUCCUGCUCUUGUUCAGCUGUAGGUCUGCAGGUCAGGAGACUGUAAAUACACACAGUGCUGCCCCAACCCAUAAAUCUGAGCAAAGGGCAGCCUUAUAUA